GGAAUAUAAAAAUCCGUCUUUUAAUUUUUAACUAAAAAAGUUAAAAACCGGUUUCUAAAUAAGAUUUUUAAGAACCGGUUUUUAAAUAAGAGUUUUAAGAACCGGUUCUUAUUUAAAAACCAGUUCUUAACUUUUUUAGUUAAAAGUUAAGAGACGGGUUCUUAUAUUCC
rfam:Brassica napus, WGS project CCCW01000000 data, contig: 9983